CUUUGCAAUGUGCGAAAGCACGACAAGGUUAAUCCGAGUGUCUCCUGCUAAAGGAGUCUUUUGUCAGUUGUAGAAUCACUGGUGAAUAAGGGGUGGGCAAGUUCUGGUGUCAGCCGCCGCGGUAAAACCAGCACCUCGAGUGGUCAGGAGGUUUAUUGGGCCUAAAGCAUCCGUAGCCGGUUGCAUAAGUUUUCGGUUAAAUCUAUGCGCUUAACGUAUAGGCCGCCGAAAAUACUGUGCAGCUAGGGAGUGGGAGAGGUACACGGUACUCGAUAGGAAGGGGUAAAAUCCUUUGAUCUAUUGAAGACCACCUGUGGCGAAGGCGGUGUACCAGAACACGUUCGACGGUGAGGGAUGAAAGCUGGGGGAGCAAACCGGAUUAGAUACCCGGGUAGUCCCAGCUGUAAACGAUACAGACUCGGUGAUGCAUUGGCUUGUGGCCAAUGCAGUGCCGCAGGGAAGCCGUUAAGUCUGCCGCCUGGGAAGUAUGUACGCAAGUANUGAAACUUAAAGGAAUUGGCGGGGGAGCACCACAAGGGGUGAAGCCUGCGGUCAAUUGGAGUCACGAC
rnacentral:rRNA from 1 species